GCACUUUAUUUGAUUUCCUUCGGGACUGAUUAUUUUGUGACUGAGUGGCGGACGGGUGAGUAACGCGUGGGUAACCUGCCUUGUACAGGGGGAUAACAGUUGGAAACGGCUGCUAAUACCGCAUAAGCGCACGGCAUCGCAUGAUGCAGUGUGAAAAACUCCGGUGGUAUAAGAUGGACCCGCGUUGGAUUAGCUAGUUGGUGAGGUAACGGCCCACCAAGGCGACGAUCCAUAGCCGACCUGAGAGGGUGACCGGCCACAUUGGGACUGAGACACGGCCCAAACUCCUACGGGAGGCAGCAGUGGGGAAUAUUGCACAAUGGGCGAAAGCCUGAUGCAGCGACGCCGCGUGAGCGAAGAAGUAUUUCGGUAUGUAAAGCUCUAUCAGCAGGGAAGAUAAUGACGGUACCUGACUAAGAAGCACCGGCUAAAUACGUGCCAGCAGCCGCGGUAAUACGUAUGGUGCGAGCGUUAUCCGGAUUUACUGGGUGUAAAGGGAGCGCGGGCGGUGCGGCAAGUCUGAUGUGAAAGCCCGGGGCUCAACCCCGGUACUGCAUUGGAAACUGUCGUACUAGAGUGUCGGAGGGGUAAGCGGGAUUCCUAGUGUAGCGGUGAAAUGCGUAGAUAUUAGGAGGAACACCAGUGGCGAAGGCGGCUUACUGGACGAUAACUGACGCUG
rnacentral:rRNA from 1 species